rnacentral:rRNA from 1 species
UACGUAGGGUGCAGGCGUUAAUCGGAAUUACUGGGCGUAAAGCGUGCGCAGGCGGCUCCUUAAGUCAGAUGUGAAAGCCCCCGGGCUCAACCUGGGAACAGCGCUUGAGACUGGCACGCUCGAGUUCGGGAGAGGAUGGUGGAAUUCCCAGUGUAGAGGUGAAAUUCGUAGAUAUUGGGAAGAACACCGAUGGCGAAGGCAGCCAUCUGGACCGACACUGACGCUGAGGCGCGAAAGCGUGGGGAGCAAACAGG